UAGGGAAUCUUCCACAAUGGACGCAAGUCUGAUGGAGCAACGCCGCGUGAGUGAAGAAGGUCUUCGGAUCGUAAAGCUCUGUUGUUGGUGAAGAAGGAUAGAGGCAGUAACUGGUCUUUAUUUGACGGUAAUCAACCAGAAAGUCACGGCUAACUACGUGCCAGCAGCCGCGGUAAUACGUAGGCGGCAAGCGUUGUCCGGAUUUAUUGGGCGUAAAGCGAGCGCAGGCGGAAUGAUAAGUCUGAUGUGAAAGCCCACGGCUCAACCGUGGAACUGCAUCGGAAACUGUCAUUCUUGAGUGCAGAAGAGGAGAGUGGAACUCCAUGUGUAGCGGUGGAAUGCGUAGAUAUAUGGAAGAACACCAGUGGCGAAGGCGGCUCUCUGGUCUGCAACUGACGCUGAGGCUCGAAAAGCAUGGGUAGCGAACAGGAUUAGAUACCCUGGUAGUCCAUGCCGUAAACGAUGAGCGCUAGGUGUUGGGG
rnacentral:rRNA from 1 species